GGCAUGGCAUAGUGGUUUGAGCAUUGGACAACAACUCUAGAGACCAGGGUUCAAAUCCUGGCUCUGCCA